rnacentral:rRNA from 1 species
GAUGAACGCUGGCGGCGUGCCUAAUACAUGCAAGUCGAGCGAACGGACGAGAAGCUUGCUUCUCUGAUGUUAGCGGCGAACGGGUGAGUAACACGUGGAUAACCUACCUAUAAGACUGGGAUAACUUCGGGAAACCGUAGCUAAUACCGGAUAAUAUUUUGAACCGCAUGGUUCAAAAGUGAAAGACGGUCUUGCUGUCACUUAUAGAUGGAUCCGCGCUGCAUUAGCUAGUUGGUAAGGUAACGGCUUACCAAGGCAACGAUGCAUAGCCGACCUGAGAGGGUGAUCGGCCACACUGGAACUGAGACACGGUCCAGACUCCUACGGGAGGCAGCAGUAGGGAAUCUUCCGCAAUGGGCGAAAGCCUGACGGAGCAACGCCGCGUGAGUGAUGAAGGUCUUCGGAUCGUAAAACUCUGUUAUUAGGGAAGAACAUAUGUGUAAGUAACUGUGCACAUCUUGACGGUACCUAAUCAGAAAGCCACGGCUAACUACGUG